GGGGAGUACGUUCGCGAGCAUGAAACUCAAAGGAAUUGACGGGGGCCUGCACAAGUGGUAGAGCAUGUGGUUUAAUUUGAUGCAAAAGAAAGAACCUUAUCAAAUCUUGACAUUCCGCGAAUCCUCUUGAAAGAGAGGGGUUCUUUCGGGAACGCGGACAAAUGUGGUGCAUUACUUUUGUUAGCUCAUGCCGUAAGGUGUUGGGAUAAGUCCCUCAAUGAGUGCAACCCUUGUGUUUAUUUGCCAUCAUUGAUUUUGGAACCAUAAAUAGACUGCCGGUGAUAAGCCGGAGGAACGUGAUGAUGAUGUCAAGUCAUCAUGCCCCUUAUGCCCUGGGCGACAUAUGUGCUACAAUGGCCGGGACAAAGAGUCGCAAUCCCGCAAGGGUUAUCAAACCCCAAAAACCCAGACUCAGUUCGGAAUGCAUGCUGAAACUUUCAUGCAUGAAGACGGAAUCGCUAGUACUCAUCGGUCAGCCAUACGGCCGUUUAUUCAUUCCCAGGCCUUGUACACAUCGUCCGUCAUACUAUGGGAGCUGUCCAUGCCCAAAUUCGUUACCUUAACCACAAGGAGGGGGAUGCCAAUGGAAGGUCUGGUGACUCGAGUGAAGUCGUUACAAGGUAGUCGUACUAGAAGGUGCGGUUA
rnacentral:rRNA from 1 species